rnacentral:tRNA from 1 species
UUCUAAUUUGGCAGAAUAGUGCAAUGGAUUUAAGCCCCAUAUAUAAAAGUUACCCUUUUUUUUAGAAA